rnacentral:rRNA from 1 species
UACGGAGGAUGCGAGCGUUAUCCGGAUUCAUUGGGUUUAAAGGGUGCGUAGGCGGACUAUUAAGUCAGUGGUGAAAUCCUGCAGCUUAACUGCAGAACUGCCAUUGAUACUGAUAGCCUUGAGUUUGGUUAAGGUAGGCGGAAUGUGUAAUGUAGCGGUGAAAUGCUUAGAUAUUACACAGAACACCAAUUGCGUAGGCAGCUUACUGAGCCGACACUGACGCUGAGGCACGAAAGCGUGGGGAUCGAACAGGAUUAGAUACCCUGGUAGUCCACGCCGUAAACGAUGAUUACUCGCUGUUGGCGAUACACUGUCAGCGGCUAAGCAAAAGCAAUAAGUAAUCCACCUGGGGAGUACGGCCGCAAGGUUGAA